CUUUGCGGGGAAUAAAGGGCCAGUUUCCCAAGAUUCUCAAAUUCUCUGGGGUAGGCAAGAGACCCAACAACCUCAGCCCCUCCACACAGGAAAAGGGAUUUGCUGCCAUCAAGAUCUCCAUGAACAAGAGGGGUGGCAGGGAGGAGAAAAGAGAAAGUACUGAGAGAGAGACAAGGAGAACCUAUCCUGCCUGACACCAGCACAGAUAGGCCCAAUUGCUUUCCAAAUACUUUUGAAUCUAAUCCAGUGCAUUUCUAGGGCACCUAGCCUUGGUGUAUUUAAACUACCAAACAACAGCUAUAAAGAACACAGCAAAAGUGCAAGACCUUUCAAACUGCAUCAAUGCCUUUCACUCCCUCCCCACCUCCUCAGGAAACGUCAGAAAGGAGAAAUUACCACUAACUUCUUGGAGAGGAGUGAAGAGGAAUCCCUGGCCUCCAGUUUUGUUCUCAUCAUGGGAGCCAGUCUGAUCUUUCUAGGCUCUUGAAGUGAAGAUGGAACUUUUCAGGGCUCCCACCUAACAACUGUCAAUGCCCCUUCAAACUGCAAGGAUAGGCUACAGGACUUCAGUAUUCCUGGGUGAAGAGGAGGAGCUCUUUUGCCAGGCAAGUCUUCUCCUGUUAGAGUGAAACUCUGCUUAUAGUGAACCUUUUUGGGGUGUGUUGCCACAAAACCAAACAUCACUCAGAAAGGGCCCCACUGUAUCAAAGUUAAGGAUCCAUAAACUUCCCUAUCAUGAGAGUCACAGAGAUUGUGAUAGCGAGAGAUAAUGUGGACCCACAUCCAUCUUAUCUCUCUUAACCCUCCAAAAUGAGUCCCUUCUCUCAUGCUGAGCACCAAAUACCCAUUAGACAGCCAUGAUUUCAUGUGCAAAGACAGGCUGGCAGCACAGAAGGAGAUUAGCGAUUGCUAUGGUGAACUGUUAUAACAGAGAGAACAAAAUGUGAUUAGAAAGGGCAAGGUCUUUAAUGUUCCCUUGGUCCUAGACUUAGUCACCCAUCAUAUCAAUGUUUAGAGAGUCCUCUCUAAGUGGAGGUGAGGGUUUUACUACUAAGGUGUCUGUGACAUACCGGGGCAAAUCCAGACUAGUUGGGGGCUGGGUCCUUGUUUUGGGCCAUUGAAUAGAGCAUCAUGAUGCUGCAUCAAGACAUCAUACUGUUCCACCAAAACAUGACGACAGUGGGUCACAGGGUAUUGUGAUGACCCAAGCUGUCAUGCACCAAUGCAGUAUCAUGAUAUGCACAUCAUUAGGUGGGACAAGUUUGUGUGCCUCCCAAGAUUAAUCUGGGGGAAGGAUCUUAAAGCCCCAAAGACACAGAAACCAAGGGAUGAAGAAUAUGCCCAUGAAUGUUGGUGGUGUGAACAGCUGUCCAGCCACCCAGGAGACCGGGGUGUUACAAAGAGACAAAGGGUCAGUUACCCUUCCUUGUCAGUAAGGACAGAAUGAGAAGUAACAGGCAGCAGCAGCAGCAGCAAGGAAACUUUCUGAAGCGUUCCAGAACUAGAGUAAUCAUAAGGACAAUGGAGUGAGCCGGCCAGGGGGAGGCUGCCGAAUCACCAUCACUGGAGAAUUUGAUGGAGUCAUACCUAGAAGAAACGAAUACAUAGAGCUGACCAGAGGAUGGCAAUUCUGUUUCAUGGCAUCGUUAGCAGGUUUGGGGCAAAAUCUCUUCUCCUUACCCCAUCUAAUGCCUCACAUUCAGAAAUGUUCUUCCAUGGCAGGGUGGAAUUCUCCUUCAGCAGCCAAGUGCCCUCAGGAGUGCAGAAGCGGUAAACUUGUCCAUGGAGCACUGCCAACAACAAGGAGGGAAAGAACGUAGACUUACUGGGGAGAAGAAUAGAACAACUACGAAGCUUAGCCUACCCUCUCCCCGUCACCUGUCACCUUAUUACAGCUGUUCUUCACCUUGCUCCUUUCCUGUAACAAAGACUGCAAUUCAUUCAUUCUCACAGCCAACUGUGUACAGCUUCCAAGAACACAUGAUAAAAUAGAACUAUACUGAACCAUCAAAAUAAAAGUAGGAAG